AGAACGAACGCUGGCGGCAUGCCUAAUACAUGCAAGUCGAACGAACUCUUCGGAGUUAGUGGCGCACGGGUGCGUAACGCGUGGGAAUCUGCCCCUUGGGUUCGGAAUAACAGUUGGAAACGACUGCUAAUACCGGAUGAUGACGAAAGUCCAAAGAUUUAUCGCCCAGGGAUGAGCCCGCGUAGGAUUAGCUAGUUGGUAGAGGUAAAGGCUCACCAAGGCGACGAUCCUUAGCUGGUCUGAGAGGAUGAUCAGCCACACGUGGGACUGACGACACGGCCCAGACUCCGUACGGGAGCAGCAGUAGGAGAUGUAGA
rnacentral:rRNA from 1 species